rnacentral:rRNA from 1 species
GCUCAGGAUGAACGCUAGCGGCAGGCCUAACACAUGCAAGUCGAGGGGCAGCACGGGUAGCAAUACUUGGUGGCGACCGGCGCACGGGUGAGUAACGCGUAUGCAACCUACCAUUAACUGGAACAUAGCCCGUCGAAAGGCGGAUUAAUUUUCCAUAACAUUAUGAAACGGCAUCGUUUUAUAAUUAAAGCUCCGGCGGUUAAAGAUGGGCAUGCGUGUCAUUAGCUAGUUGGUGAGGUAACGGCUCACCAAGGCUACGAUGACUAAGGGGUCUGAGAGGAUGAUCCCCCACACUGGAACUGAGACACGGUCCAGACUCCUACGGGAGGCAGCAGUGAGGAAUAUUGGUCAAUGGGGGCAACCCUGAACCAGCCAUGCCGCGUGAAGGAUGACGGCCCUAUGGGUUGUAAACUUCUUUUUUUAGGGACGAAACUGCGAUACGUGUAUUGUACUGACGGUACCUAAUGAAUAAGCAACGGCUAACUCCGUGCCAGCAGCCGCGGUAAUACGGAGGUUGCAAGCGUUAUCCGGAUUUAUUGGGUUUAAAGGGUGCGUAGGCGGGAUUAUAAGUCAGUGGUGAAAACCUGCAGCUUAACUGUAGAACUGCCAUUGAUACUGUAAUUCUUGAGUAUAGUUGAGGUGGGCGGAAUGUGUAAUGUAGCGGUGAAAUGCUUAGAUAUUACACAGAACACCAAUUGCAUAGGCAGCUCACUAAACUAACACUGACGUUGAGGCACGAAAGCGUGGGGAGCAAACAGGAUUAGAUACCCUGGUAGUCCACGCCGUAAACGAUGAUUACUCGAUGUGUGCGAUAUACCGUACGCGUCUAAGCGAAAGCAUUAAGUAAUCCACCUGGGGAGUACGGCGGCAACGCUGAAACUCAAAGGAAUUGACGGGGGCCCGCACAAGCGGAGGAACAUGUGGUUUAUUUCGAUGAUACGCGAGGA